GACAGAGGGUGCAAACGUUGUUCGGAAUUACUGGGCGUAAAGCGUGUGUAGGUGGCCGCGCAAGUCGGAUGUGAAAGCCCUGGGCUCAACUCAGGAAGUGCACCCGAUACUGCGUGGCUCGAGUACCGGAGAGGUUGGUGGAAUUCUCGGUGUAGAGGUGAAAUUCGUAGAUAUCGAGAGGAACACCUGUGGCGAAGGCGGCCAACUGGACGAGUACUGACACUGGAGACACGAAAGCGUGGGGAGCAAACAGG
rnacentral:rRNA from 1 species